rnacentral:rRNA from 1 species
UACGUAGGAUGCAAGCGUUGUCCGGAAUUACUGGGCGUAAAGCGUGUGCAGGCGGUUUUUUGCGUCGGUGGUGAAAUCUCCUGGCUUAACUGGGAGGGUGCCGUCGAAACGGGGAGACUUGAGGGCUUGAGAGGGACAUAGAACUCCCGGUGGAACAGUGAAAUGUGUAGAGAUCGGGAAGAAUACCAGAGGUGAAGACGGUGUCCUGGCAAGUGCCUGACGCUCAGACACGAAAGCUUGGGGAGCGAACAGG